rnacentral:tRNA from 1 species
GUGGGUACAGCUCCGUGGUAGAGCACGUGGUUAACAUGUGCGAGGUCCUGGGUUCAAUUUCCAGUACCUCCA